UACGAAGGGGGCUAGCGUUGCUCGGAAUUACUGGGCGUAAAGGGCGCGUAGGCGGCCGAUUAAGUCGGGGGUGAAAGCCUGUGGCUCAACCACAGAAUUGCCUUCGAUACUGGUUGGCUUGAGACCGGAAGAGGACAGCGGAACUGCGAGUGUAGAGGUGAAAUUCGUAGAUAUUCGCAAGAACACCAGUGGCGAAGGCGGCUGUCUGGUCCGGUUCUGACGCUGAGGCGCGAAAGCGUGGGGAGCAAACAGG
rnacentral:rRNA from 1 species